CCUACGGGUGGCAGCAGUGGGGGAUAUUGCACAAUGGGGGGAACCCUGAUGCAGCGACGCCGCGUGGGUGAAGAAGCGCCUCGGCGCGUAAAGCCCUGUCAGCAGGGAAGAAAAGGACGGUACCUGAAGAAGAAGCCCCGGCUAACGACGAGCCAGCAGCCGCGGUAAUACGCAGGGGGCAAGCGUUAUCCGGAUUUACUGGGUGAAAAGGGGGCGCAGACGGCGAUGCAAGCCAGGCGUGAAGGCCCGGGGCCCCCCCCCGGGACUGCUCUUGGGAGGGCGGGGCUGGAGUGCAGGAGGGGCAGGCGGGAUUCCUGGUGUAGCGGUGAAAUGCGUAGAUAUCAGGAGGAGCACCGGUGGCGAAGGCGGCCUGCUGGACUGCACCUGACGUUGAGGCCCGAAAGCGUGGGGAGCACACAGGAUUAGAUACCCCUGUAGUC
rnacentral:rRNA from 1 species